rnacentral:rRNA from 1 species
GACGAACGCGGGCGGCGUGCUUAACACAUGCAAGUCGAACGAAAAGGCCUGCAGCUUGCUGCGGGUACUCGAGUGGCGAACGGGUGAGUAACACGUGGGUGAUCUGCCUUGCACUUCGGGAUAAGCUUGGGAAACUGGGUCUAAUACCGGAUAGGACAGCUGUUUAGUGUCAGUUGUGGAAAGUUUUUUCGGUGCAAGAUGAGCUCGCGGCCUAUCAGCUUGUUGGUGGGGUAAUGGCCUACCAAGGCGUCGACGGGUAGCCGGCCUGAGAGGGUGUACGGCCACAUUGGGACUGAGAUACGGCCCAGACUCCUACGGGAGGCAGCAGUGGGGAAUAUUGCACAAUGGGCGGAAGCCUGAUGCAGCGACGCCGCGUGGGGGAUGAAGGCCUUCGGGUUGUAAACUCCUUUCGACAGGGACGAAGCGUAAGUGACGGUACCUGUAUAAGAAGCACCGGCUAACUACGUGCCAGCAGCCGCGGUAAUACGUAGGGUGCGAGCGUUGUCCGGAAUUACUGGGCGUAAAGAGCUCGUAGGUGGUUUGUCGCGUCGUCUGUGAAAUUCCGGGGCUUAACUCCGGGCGUGCAGGCGAUACGGGCUGACUUGAGUGCUGUAGGGGAGACUGGAAUUCCUGGUGUAGCGGUGAAAUGCGCAGAUAUCAGGAGGAACACCGAUGGCGAAGGCAGGUCUCUGGGCAGUAACUGACGCUGAGGAGCGAAAGCAUGGGUAGCGAACAGGAUUAGAUACCCUGGUAGUCCAUGCCGUAAACGGUGGGCGCUAGGUGUAGGGGGCUUCCACGUCUUCUGUGCCGUAGCUAACGCAUUAAGCGCCCCGCCUGGGGAGUACGGCCGCAGGCUA